rnacentral:rRNA from 1 species
GGUUUGGUCUGAAAGCUCAGAUUGAACGCUGGCAGGAUGCUUUACACAUGCAAGUCGAACGGCAGCACGGACUUCGGUCUGGUGGCGAGUGGCGAACGGGUGAGUAAUGUAUCGGAACGUGCCUAGUAGCGGGGGAUAACUACGCGAAAGCGUAGCUAAUACCGCACAUACGCCCUUCGGGGAAAGCGGGGGACCUUCGGGCCUCGCACUAUUAGAGCGGCCGAUAUCAGUUAGCUAGUUGGUGAGGUAACGGCUCACCAAAGGCGACGAUCUGGCUGGUUUGAGAGGACGACCAGCCACACUGGGACUGAGACACGGCCCAGACCUACGGGAGGCAGCAGUGGGAAUUUUGGACAAUGGGGGAAACCCUGAUCAACCAUCCCGCGUGUGCGAUGAAGGCCUUCGGGUUGUAAAAGCACUUUUGGCAGGAAAGAAACGGCACGGGAUAAUACCCCGUGCAACUGACGGUAGAAUAAACACCGGCUAACUACGUGCCAGCAGCGCGGUAAUACGUAGGGUGCAAGCGUUAAUCGGAAUUACUGGGCGUAAAGCGUGCGCAGGCGGUUCGGAAAGAAAGAUGUGAAAUCCCAGGCUUAACUUUGGAACUGCAUUUUUUAACUACCGAGCUAGAGUGUGUCAGAGAGGUGGAAUUCCGCGUGUAGCAGUGAAAUGCGUAGAUAUGCGGAGGAACACCGAUGGCGAAGGCAGCCUCCUGGGAUAACACUGACGCUCAUGCACGAAAGCGUGGGGAGCAAACGGAUUAGAUACCCUGGUAGUCCACGCCCUAAACGAUGUCAACUAGCUGUUGGGGCCUUCGGGCCUUGGUAGCGCAGCUAACGUAGAGGGAUUGACCGCCUGGGGAGUACGGUCGCAAGAUUAAAACUCAAAGUUGACGGGGACCCGCACAAGCGGUGGAUGAUGUGGAUUAAUUCAGUACAACCUUACGAAAACCUUACCUACCCAUGACUUAUGUCUGGAAUCCCGAAAGAGAUUUGGGAGUGCUCAUAGAGAACCGGAACACAGGUGCUGCAUGGCUGUCGUCAGCUCGUGUCGUGAGAUGUUGAGUUAAGUCCGCAGCGAGCGCAACCCUUGUCAUUAGUUGCUACCGAAGGGCACUCUAAUGAGACUGCCGGUGACAAACCGGAGGAAGGAGUGGGGAUGACGUCAAGUCCUCCUUGGCCCUUAUGGGUAGGGCUUCACACGUCAUACAAUGGUCGGGACAGAGGGUCGCCAACCCGCGAGGAGGAGCCAAUCCCAGAAACCCGGUCGUAGUCGGAUCGCAGUCUGCAGCUCGACUGCGUGAAGUCGGAAUCGCUAGUAAUCGCGGAUCAGCAUGUCGCGGUGAAUACGUUCGGGUCUUGUACCACCGCCGUCACACCAUGGGAGUGGGUUUUACCAGAAGUAGUUAGCCUAACCGUAAGGAGGGCGAUUACCACGGUAGGAUUCCUUUGACUGGGGUGAAGUCGUAACAAGGUAA